rnacentral:rRNA from 1 species
UACGAAAGGUGCAAGCGUUACUCGGAAUCACUGGGCGUAAAGCGCACGUAGGCGGACUCGUAGGUCAGUUGUGAAAUACCUGGGCUCAACCCGGGAACGGCAGCUGAAACCGCUUGUCUUGAAUACCUGAGAGGGUGGGGGAAUACCUGGUGGAGAAGUGAAAUUCGUAGAGAUCAGGUGGAACACCGGAGGCGAAGGCGCCUGCCUGGCAGUGUAUUGACGCUGAGGUGCGAAAGUGCGGGGAGCAAACAGG